rnacentral:rRNA from 1 species
GAUGAACGCUGGCGGCGUGCCUAAUACAUGCAAGUCGAGCGAACGGACGAGAAGCUUGCUUCUCUGAUGUUAGCGGCGGACGGGUGAGUAACACGUGGAUAACCUACCUAUAAGACUGGGAUAACUUCGGGAAACCGGAGCUAAUACCGGAUAAUAUUUUGAACCGCAUGGUUCAAAAGUGAAAGACGGUCUUGCUGUCACUUAUAGAUGGAUCCGCGCUGCAUUAGCUAGUUGGUAAGGUAACGGCUUACCAAGGCAACGAUGCAUAGCCGACCUGAGAGGGUGAUCGGCCACACUGGAACUGAGACACGGUCCAGACUCCUACGGGAGGCAGCAGUAGGGAAUCUUCCGCAAUGGGCGAAAGCCUGACGGAGCAACGCCGCGUGAGUGAUGAAGGUCUUCGGAUCGUAAAACUCUGUUAUUAGGGAAGAACGUAUGUGUAAGUAACUGUGCACAUCUUGACGGUACCUAAUCAGAAAGCCACGGCUAACUACGU